CUGGCCAAGCACCUGUGCUGUGGCUGCUGUCCCCCCCUGAGCCGGCCACGCACCUGCCCGCUCCGCUCCUCUGGGGGCGUCUCCACCCCCAGGAAAGAAUGGGGCCCUCUGAGCAGGGAGCUGUGGCUGGGGAGGUGUCACUCCUCCGGUCCUUUGUCAGGCUUAGGCUUGGGAGGCAACAGUAGCCGGGCCACAUGUAGAACAGCCACCACCUGCAGCCCGGGGACAGAGGGCUCAGGCACAGCGUGCAUCCAGGGACACGGAGGCAUGGCUCAGACCAGGGCUUCUCACCUGCGGUGACUUUGAAUUCCAGAGGAUCCUUGGCAGACUCCAGAGACGCUUCACGUUGUCACUCUAGUCCGGUGGCAGUGGGGACGCUGUUCACACCUGCAUGCACUUAUCCUCUGUGUCCCUCCUCCAUCCCUCCUCCAUCCUGCCCUCCUGUCCUGGGAGGCACAGGUUUGCUCCUGGAGCUUAAGGACGGACCCCAGAGGACACAGUGCCAGUGACCACAUCAAGGGUGCACGCCCAGCUCAGCGCCACACCUGCUAGCCCUGAGGACCUGAAGGGUGUCAGGCUGGUGACUCCUGGGGCUCCCUGCUGACUGGACCUCCUGCAGAGGCCCUGGGGUCCUGACACCGAGCCUUGGGCAUGGAAGGACUGGGGCCUCAGGUCAGGUUUGCUGGAGACAAGGGCUUCAAGGGGCCUGAGGCCCUGGGAGCUGGGUGGGUGCCUGAGAGGAGGGGCCACCAGGGCUGGUGAAUGGACACUGAGAAGGGCCACAACAGGGCCUCUCGGAGAGCCAGAGAGGGAGAAGGGAGGGUAGUGGAGGCCGGCUGUAGAGGAGGCCCAGCCGUGGGAGGCCGGGGCCUACGGAAGCCCUCCUGCACACCCGGGCUUCCCAGGACGGACAGGCUCUGGCAGGUCGUCUGGAGUUGUGUCCGACCACUCAGGAGUCAGGAGAUCGGGGAAGAAGGUUCCCCAUCCUGUUCCACCUGCAGGGUCAGGCCACCCACUCACCUCCAGGGGAAACAGGCAUGACUCAGAGCCCAGGCCUCUGCCCACACUGGUGGCAGUUACCCACAGCCCACAGCUGGCAGGUCUCAGACCGCUAAGAACGGAGCCCUCGGCUCGCCCACUGGCUGGGAGUAGUGGUCACUUCAGGAGAGGAUCCUGCCCCCAGGCUGCUCCUCAGGGCAGCAGGGCUCCGCUUGCCUGGCACCCUGUCCCUUGGCCAACACCCUUCCAGGAUACACCCUUGGUGCCCGUGUGGCCUGGGAAGUGGGACCUGUGCAGACAAGUCCUCGGGUGGGGGAGGCCCGCAGGAGCCAGGGCCUGGCAGCCCACGGCAGCAUCCUCACCUGGAGAAAGAGCGUCUCCAGGUGCACCCCCCACCCACAGGAAGUAGAGGACAGGAAGGAGCAUUCCUUGGUGAUGGGCACCUCCAUCGAUUCAGGGAGGAAGAGAUUUCUUCCUUCCGCUCAUUUACUCAUUGGCUUUGGUCGGUGCUUUGCAGACGUGCAUGAGGGUAGGCGUCUACACGUGCACAGCCAGGUCUUGUCACGGUCCUCUGCAUCUCCUCCCCUCCCCUGUCCUCCCCCUCCCUCUGUCCCAUGGGCUCCCCUCUGGGCCACUCUGCCCGCUCUCCCCCUCCCUGGUCAGCCUUCUGCCUGGCCUUGACUCUCCGGGUCUGGCUCAUGUCACUCAGCAUGACCUUCUCCAGCUCUGUCCAUCACCGGCCACAGACCUUAGGAGGAGCCCCUGUCCCCAUCUGGGGCAUGGUGGACGGGCCAUGUUCCUGCCUGCCAAGGGAGACUUUGCCCUGGCUGCCCUCCCACCCUCCUCCACGGGCCUGUCCUGCCCUGGGGAGAAACAUUCCGGUGUCUCGUCAGCCCCUGGGCCACGUCUUCUGGUGACAACGUCUGACAUGCCAUGUCUCUCUCUUGCAGGCGAGGAGUGUGGAUGCUGCCGUCACCUGUGUUCCCGACCCCAGACAGGGCGUGUGAGUCGUGAAUGAAGGAGGGAUGCGGGGGACCAGCACCCAGCCCGCCAGCUGUCUCUCCUCUUCCAGAGCCUGGUCCCCAACAGCACCUGGUGUGACUGACUGCUGCCUGGCCCUACCCGCCCCCGCCGCCGGCUCGGCAUUCUGAGCGAGGGGCGAGCGCUGCAUGAUGAAUGGCUGCAGAGCAAGGGGCACUGGCCAACGAGGGGAGGCCAGGUGCCACGGCAGGACGGUCUCAGAGAAGGGAGGUGUGCCUGGUCCUGGGCCCAUACGACCCAUGUGGGGGCCCCAGAUGACAGUGUUGACACUAGACACCAUUAAAAAAGUGUUUUAACCAACCAGGU
rnacentral:lncRNA from 1 species